rnacentral:tRNA from 9 species
GCGGUCGUGGCGGAACGGCAGACGCGCUAGAUUCAGGUUCUAGUGAGGGAAACUUCGUGGAGGUUCAAGUCCUCUCGACCGCACCA